ACAUAUACAGGAAUAUGGCAGAGAUGUCAUAGCGGUAAAACGUCUGUAUACAGGUGGUGCAUGGUUGUCGUCAGCUCGUGUCGUGAGAUGUUGGGUUAAGUCCCGCAACGAGCGCAACCCUCGUUCUGUGUUGCCAGCAUUUAGUUGGGGACUCACAGGAGACUGCCGGGGUUAACUCGGAGGAAGGUGGGGAUGACGUCAAAUCAUCAUGCCCCUUAUGUCUUGGGCUGCACGCAUGCUACAAUGGCUGGUACAAAGGGCUGCAAUACUGCAAAGUGGAGCGAAUCCCAAAAAGCCAGUCUCAGUUCGGAUUGGGGUCUGCAACUCGACCCCAUGAAGUCGGAGUUGCUAGUAAUCGUAGAUCAGCAACGCUACGGUGAAUACGUUCCCGGGGCUUGUACACACCGCCCGUCACAUCACGA
rnacentral:rRNA from 1 species